rnacentral:lncRNA from 1 species
GGACAAAGAAAAAAAAAAAAAAAAAACCAAUAAAUUAUAAAUUCUAAGUACACAUAAUGAAUGUGUUGCUACUUUUUUUUUUUUUUUUUUUUUUUUAUUUAUUAAAGAUGAACUGAGGUACUAUGAAAUGAAAAUAUACGAAUCCGAAGAUUUUACGUUCUAUGUAGAUAUAAAAAAGAAUAUAAAGAAAAAAAUUGCACAUGUAUUCUUUUUAAAAGUUUUUAUUAUAAUGGUAUAGCUAUAAAAGUAAAAAAAAAAAUAAAAAAAUAAAAAAUUGAAAAGAAACAUAUUAUGAAAGUAUAAAAGACUAUAAUACAUCGAAUAUUUAAAGCAAUAUAUAAAGCGCGUAUAAAAACAUUUUAUCUAAAAUUGUUUAUUCAUUCUUAUUUUUUCUUCUUCUAUUUUUUUUUUUUUUGUAUGUCUGAUUUAGUUAUCUAUGAUUAUACUAAUAUAUUUUUCUGCUGAAUUAAAUACACUAUUAUUUCCCAUUGAAGGUAUAUUGAAAAAAUUAAAACUUAUGAAGUAAGUUAAAAAAAAAAAAAAAAAAGAAUUAAUAAUAAUAAUAAUAAUAAUAAUAAUAGCUAAUUGUUAUAUAGACUUUAAAUAAUUAAAUUUUUUUUAAUAAAACAUAUUUUGAGUAUUUAACAAUAUAUAGUAUGUUGCAGAUAUGAGCAAGAUUUUUUACUUAUUUAUUUAUUAUUAUUAUUAUUAUUAUUAUUAUUGUUAUUAUUAUUAAAGUUUGAUACAUUAUUUUUUUCUCAGCUUCUAACUUUUUUUUUUUUUUUUUGUCUUUUAUUUUAUAGAAACAACCCAACGCUAGCCCUAGAAAUGCAGGAAGAAUUAUUAAAUCAUGAAUUAAACAAUAUAUUAACUAGUUCAAAUUUAAAAAAAUAUAGUAUAAAAGAAGAUUUUGAAAUUUUAAAAAUGGAAGAAAAUUUAAUGAAAUUAGGGACAUUAAUGUUGUUAGGUAUUAAUUUUGUUCAUUUCUUUUUAGCCUUUUUUUGAUCUUUCUUUAAGGUCUUUUUUUUUUAUUUUGUUUUUUUGUGUAUAUAAAUAUAUCAUUAAUAGUUGCUGUAGAACAAUUAU